GUAACGCAAGGAAAGGGCAGGUCCCCCGUCUCUGCCAAGAUGGCGUCCUGUGAGUCUGCGUCUACGCCUGCUUCUCUUUGUGUCACUCCACAUAAGUGCCUCCUCCCGUCAUAAGCUAUAAUUCAUGAGUCCUGAUUGUAGCAGUGGUCAGUGGCACCUUACACACAGAGCAAAGCGCUGAGCUGUGGUAUCAGCCCCCCCUUUUACAGCGCCCCCUGCUGGCAGUAUGAGUGAGGGCGCAGACAAGGUCAGAGGUCGCGUGAUUCGCUAGCUCUGCUGUGCUCGUAGCAGACCUGCAUGGGUUUCGGUUAAGCUAAGUCAGUCUUUCCACACGUCUCCUGGCUUCUGCGCUCGUUUCAUUGUUCUCCUCAUCAUCUCACUGAUGUCAUCUUGGACACAUCAAACAAUGGCCCCAUCUGGACCACAGUCCUGAUUGUUUGUGUUUUUGCCACCGUCAUUCCGAACAGGGAAGCCCCGCAGCAGUGAAGCUCGCAUCAAUUAACACAGAGGCCCACGUGGAAGAUAAAGCGGGGAAAGAUCUUCGUUGCUCACAUCAAAUUGUUAGAAGAUUCAUGACCUUUAAAGUGGAUCUGAUCCAAAGCACCCACCGCUAGAAAACAUAUUCUGUGUGUGCUACAUCACCGCUGCAUCCAAUGUGUGUGACGUGUAUCCUGGCUGGUUACGGAGCAGUGUGUCACGGAUGGGGAAUAAAAAUUUAAAAUGACAUUAUAA